GGGUUCAGACCCACGGCAACGGCUGCGUAACACGUUGGAACCUUCCCCGGAUUCAGGGAUAACCCGCCGAAAGGCGGGCUAAUACCGGAUGGUCUCGCAAGAGUAAAGCUUUCGCGAUCCGGGAGGGGCCUGCGGCCUAUCAGGUAGUUGGUGAGGUAACGGCUCACCAAGCCGAUGACGGGUAGCUGGUCUGAGAGGACGACCAGCCAGAAUGGAACUGCGACACGGUCCAU
rnacentral:rRNA from 1 species